rnacentral:rRNA from 1 species
GUACACUCCUGCGGGAGGCAGCAGUGGGGAAUUUUGGACAAUGGGCGAAAGCCUGAUCCAGCAAUGCCGCGUGAGUGAAGAAGGCCUUCGGGUUGUAAAGCUCUUUUGUCAGGGAAGAAACGGUGAAAGCUAAUAUCUUUUGCUAAUGACGGUACCUGAAGAAUAAGCACCGGCUAACUACGUGCCAGCAGCCGCGGUAAUACGUAGGGUGCAAGCGUUAAUCGGAAUUACUGGGCGUAAAGCGUGCGCAGGCGGUUUUGUAAGUCUGAUGUGAAAUCCCCGGGCUCAACCUGGGAAUUGCAUUGGAGACUGCAAGGCUAGAAUCUGGCAGAGGGGGGUAGAAUUCCACGUGUAGCAGUGAAAUGCGUAGAUAUGUGGAGGAACACCGAUGGCGAAGGCAGCCCCCUGGGUCAAGAUUGACGCUCAUGCACGAAAGCGUGGGGAGCAAACAGGAUUAGAAACCCUGGUAGUCCCAUGAU